rnacentral:misc_RNA from 1 species
UCAAACUUGGUCAUUUAGAGGAAGUAAAAGUCGUAACAAGGUUUCCGUAGGUGAACCUGCGGAAGGAUCAUUAACGAUAUGUGAUAUCCCUACCCACCUUGUGUGCAACCCGAGAAGAAGCCUACUUUGGGAAGAUCACGAUCAUUCUCUGGUCUUCCCAAAGAGGUCAUCCCAAUCAAUCAAUUUUUUCUUUUCUCUACUAUCUGAAAAUACAAAUCGAAACAAUAAACAACUUUCAACAACGGAUCUCUUGGCUCUCGCAUCGAUGAAGAACGCAGC